rnacentral:rRNA from 1 species
AGCUCCAAUAGCGUAUAUUAAAGUUGUUGCGGUUAAAAAGCUCGUAGUUGGAUUUCAGUUCUGGACUGACGGUUCACCGCCCGGUGCACACUGUCACGCUCCGAACAGCCCUAAACAGCCCGCUGGCUCGCACGGGGUGCUCUUCAUCGAGUGUCCCGCGUGGCCGGCAGAGUUUACUUUGAAAAAAUUAGAGUGCUCAAAGCAGGCUACACUGACGGCCUGAAUGCCUAUGCAUGGAAUAAUGGAAUAGGACCUCGGUUCUAUUUUGUCGGUUUUCUGAACCCGAGGUAAUGACUAAUAGGAACAGGCGGGGGCAUUCGUAUUGCGACGCUAGAGGUGAAAUUCUUGGACCGUCGCAAGACGAACUACUGCGAAAGCAUUUGCCAAGGAUGUUUUCA